rnacentral:rRNA from 1 species
UACGUAGGGUGCAGGCGUUAAUCGGAAUUACUGGGCGUAAAGCGUGCGCAGGCGGUUUCUUAAGUCAGCUGUGAAAGCCCCGGGCUUAACCUGGGAACUGCGUUUGAAACUGGGAGACUUGAGUGUGGCAGAGGGGGGUGGAAUUCCAGGUGUAGCAGUGAAAUGCGUAGAGAUCUGGAGGAACACCGAUGGCGAAGGCAGCCCCCUGGGUUAACACUGACGCUCAUGCACGAAAGCGUGGGGAGCAAACAGG